GCGGCGCGGGAGCGCUGUGAGGGGGAGUGGGGGUGGAGGGCGCCCGGAGGGCAGCCAGGACCGAGCGGGCUUCAGGGGAGGGUGAAUCCUCAGCCAGCUCAUGUUGUCCCUGUUGGCUGUGGGACCGAGGCGGGGAAUCAGCGGGCCCCAGCUCCAGCCUGGAGACAGGCCCUGAGGGGUGUGGGGGCAGCUGGGGCUGGCCUGGGCGUGCAGGCCUGAAGCAGGGCCAGAAGGUCUGGUACUAAACCUGCCUGGUUUGGCCCUGCCAUCUGGCACGGGCACUGCAAAGGGGGUGGUUUUUUUGCAGUUGCAGAGGCAGGGCUGGACCUUACCCUGUAGACAACAUCUGUGUAAUGGGCCAAGGUUGGCUGUGUCCAUGCUGGCAGGCCGCCACAGGCCUUAAAAAUGAAGGAGUGUGUCAGCAUGAGGUAUUUGGGCCCCAUGCAGACACACUUUCUGCUUGAGGGGGAAGCAAAGACAAACACCCCUUUCAGCAGCAGACUGCUCCCUCUGAGGGCAGAGUGGAUCCUGCCUUACUGCCACUGCUUUGAUCCCAGCUGCUGCCUGGAGGCAUUUCCUUAAAUGUUAAGUGGGAAGACUGUAGGAAGGAUGGACUGACAAGAGACCUCCCUGAAUUGCAGCAUGUGUUUCCCAGUGGAAGAGGAGUUCACUGGCAGUUCAAGACCUGGAAAAAAAACUCCAAACCUUGGAGAAGCAGUUAAUCAUGUUGAGGGAGUACAAAUGAAAUGAGCAGAAAUAGAAAGCAUAGACCAUUUGGUUUUCAAAAUGCUGUUGAAUUCUGCACCUGGAUUGCAGGCAUCGCUAAGAGGCAAAACUCAUAUCCCAGAACAAGAUCCCUGAAGUGGGAAGGUUCAAUGAGUGUUUUCAUUCAGCAGGCAGUGACGGAGCACGGAGACCAUGGCUGGAGAUGCCGAACGAAGGAUGUUGAUGGCUGAGGAUGACCUACCUGUAAGCAAAUCCUUGCUGAGAGCCUGUGCCCCCUUCGGCUACAUGGAGCAUUUACAAAUCCAGGACAGCAGGUCAUGUGGAGAUGGAAUAAUACUGGUUUCAACCCAUGAUCUUUUACAAGGAGGAGACCAAGAGUUUGCGUGUGGUGUCCCCAUAGCAGAGGAAAUGUAGCCCUUGGGCCUUGGAGAGGAAGGUGUGAGAGGGCACAAGAGAACAAAAUUCACUGAGCAGCUACAUUUAGAUGAACUAAAUGAAUGGUGGAUGCCAUUUCUCUGACCAUCAGAGCAGAGAGGCUCUAGAACAAUCUCCCAGAUGGGAAAAUGGUGGAAAACCUACCCAUUUCCAGGUGGAAAAUAGCCCAUGGAGUAUUAUUUGGAUCUUGUUGAGUGGAUUGCAAGAGAUUUGCACCAACAUCAACGUGAAUACAACCAUGGGGUAGGAGCCACAGACUGCGGAGGGCUUUGUCAUUGAGCACAUUCUUGUUUCAGUUGAGAUAUUCCUGGGAGCAGCAGGCAAUGCCAGCACCAACUGAGGGCCCAGGAAGCCCCAGGGCGGUGAGCGCUUCUGAAAAAUCACAUUUUCCCUUCAAAUUUGAGCAAGAGAGUACUGAUCAGUGUGGGAUUGCACCAGCGUGGCAAUGGAGGGAGGAAGACUAUGUGGAAAAGAGAUGUCCUGAAGCCAAGGUUUAAACAGAAGCAUCCUGGAUGCAGCUGGGAGCCUCUUCAUGCCCUGAAGCUUGAAGGCAAACUGAGCUAAAUGGGGAGAAAAGGGCAGAAAACAGCUAAAGGGAGGGCUAGCCUGCAAGUGGGGUUCUAACCUCUCUGCUAGGCAGGGAGGGAGCACUGAGCCAUUUCCGAACGACAGCCCCAGCCACUGCAAAAGGAUGAGAGUGGGAAUCUCUGACCUCCCCGGGAAAUGUCACCCUGAUGGGAGGGAUCUGCUGGGGACAUUCCGGAGUGUCCCCAAGAGAUACUCCUCUAAAGGAAUAUCCGUACCAGUUUAGAAUUAAGCUUUUGGUCUUAAGAACUCUGCUGGUUCUUCCCUUGAGCUCAGCUGGGCUGGGUGCAUCUGUGUGAAAAUUUCUUGAAUUGAUUACUGCUUAUGAAGAAGUCUGUCUUUAAUUAGGGAUCGCUUAACUUGGAGAGUGAGUUCAGGGAACUCAAGGACAGCUGUACUGGGCAGGUGGUGUUUGUCUUGAGCUCCCUGAACAAGCAAGAUAUGAGCAGCAGCAUCCAGACAAUAAAACAUCGUGUGUGGCUAUGUCAUGACGGUAACUCCACCACGCUCAGGUGUCUGGCCAACAUCCCUGGCGUGUGUGAACCUCACGAACCAUGACAUAGUGCACACCUGCACUUAGCCUAUUUUUUUUUAUUUACAUACACUAGGUGUGUAACUGAGUAUUAAAGGUGGGCGAGCUCCGGGACUGGGCAAGAAGCCUCACCUACAGGUGGAUGCACCAUGCAGGAAUUUUCCCAGUUACUGAGAGAUUCCUGGCACUGGCUGCAACAGGGCUCCCAGCUGAAGGGAUGUUAAGGUGGAAAUUGGUGAUGUGAUCCUUUUCUUAGUCUCUCUAACACUUUGCAGUAAUGUCUUGAUGCUUCGCUGCUAUUGCUCUUUUAUCAUAUUGUGCAUAAUAACUAGUACUGUUUUUUUAAUCAUAUUGCAUGCUGUUUUCUUUAUUAUAUUGUAAUAUAAUAAACUGCAUUUAUUUUUGUAUUUGA